GACGAACGCUGGCGGCGUGCCUAAUACAUGCAAGUCGAACGCUUCUUCCCUCCCGAGUGCUUGCACUCAAUUGGAAAGAGGAGUGGCGGACGGGUGAGUAACACGUGGGUAACCUACCCAUCAGAGGGGGAUAACACUUGGAAACAGGUGCUAAUACCGCAUAACAGUUUAUGCCGCAUGGCAUAAGAGUGAAAGGCGCUUUCGGGUGUCGCUGAUGGAUGGACCCGCGGUGCAUUAGCUAGUUGGUGAGGUAACGGCUCACCAAGGCCACGAUGCAUAGCCGACCUGAGAGGGUGAUCGGCCACACUGGGACAGAGACACGGCCCAGACUCCUACGGGAGGCAGCAGUAGGGAAUCUUCGGCAAUGGACGAAAGUCUGACCGAGCAACGCCGCGUGAGUGAAGAAGGUUUUCGGAUCGUAAAACUCUGUUGUUAGAGAAGAACAAGGACGUUGUAGCUGAACGUCCCCUGACGGUAUCUAACCAGAAAGCCACGGCUAACUACGUG
rnacentral:rRNA from 1 species